rnacentral:rRNA from 1 species
GUGGGGAAUUUUGGACAAUGGGGGCAACCCUGAUCCAGCCAUGCCGCGUGCGGGAAGAAGGCCUUCGGGUUGUAAACCGCUUUUGUCAGGGAAGAAAUCCUUUGGGUUAAUACCUCGGAGGGAUGACGGUACCUGAAGAAUAAGCACCGGCUAACUACGUGCCAGCAGCCGCGGUAAUACGUAGGGUGCGAGCGUUAAUCGGAAUUACUGGGCGUAAAGCGUGCGCAGGCGGUUUUGUAAGAUCGAUGUGAAAGCCCGGGGCUCAACCUGGGAACUGCAUUGGUGACUGCAAGGCUGGAGUGCGGCAGAGGGGGAUGGAAUUCCGCGUGUAGCAGUGAAAUGCGUAGAUAUGCGGAGGAACACCGAUGGCGAAGGCAAUCCCCUGGGCCUGCACUGACGCUCAUGCACGAAAGCGUGGGGAGCAAACAGGAUUAGAAACCCCGGUAGUCC